GACGAACGCUGGCGGCGUGCUUAACACAUGCAAGUCGAACGGAAAGGCCCUGCUUGCAGGGUACUCGAGUGGCGAACGGGUGAGUAACACGUGGGUGAUCUGCCCUGCACUUCGGGAUAAGCCUGGGAAACUGGGUCUAAUACCGGAUAGGAGCCAUUUUUAGUGUGAUGGUUGGAAAGUUUUUUCGGUGUAGGAUGAGCUCGCGGCCUAUCAGCUUGUUGGUGGGGUAAUGGCCUACCAAGGCGGCGACGGGUAGCCGGCCUGAGAGGGUGGACGGCCACAUUGGGACUGAGAUACGGCCCAGACUCCUACGGGGGGCAGCGGUGGGGAAUAUUGCACAAUGGGCGCAAGCCUGAUGCAGCGACGCCGCGUGGGGGAUGACGGCCUUCGGGUUGUAAACUCCUUUCGCUAGGGACGAAGCUUUUUGUGACGGUACCUAGAUAAGAAGCACCGGCUAACUACGUG
rnacentral:rRNA from 1 species